rnacentral:rRNA from 1 species
UACGUAGGGUGCAAGCGUUAAUCGGAAUUACUGGGCGUAAAGCGUGCGUAGGCGGUGAUGUAAGACAGGUGUGAAAUCCCCGGGCUUAACCUGGGAACUGCAUUUGUGACUGCAUCGCUGGAGUGCGGCAGAGGGGGAUGGAAUUCCGCGUGUAGCAGUGAAAUGCGUAGAUAUGCGGAGGAACACCGAUGGCGAAGGCGGCGACCUGGGUAGAUACUGACGCUGAGGUGCGAAAGCGUGGGGAGCAAACAGG